rnacentral:lncRNA from 1 species
GCCGCUCCCGCGGCAUAUGGAGGUUCCCAGGUUAGGGGUCGAAUCGGAGCUGUAGCCGCCGGCCUACACCAGAGCCACAGCAAUGCCGGAUCCUCAACCCACUGAGCAAGGCCAGGGAUUGAACCUGCAACCUCGUGGUUCUUAGUCGGAUUCCUUAGCCACUGAGCCACGACAGGAACUCCUACAUUUUUUUUUUCUAAAAACAUACAAAUAUAUGUGGAGCUGCAGGCCUAUGCCAGAGCCAUAGCAACACGGGAUCCGAGCCGCCUCUGCAACCUACACCACAGCUCAUGGCAAUGCCAGAUCCUCAACCCACUGAGCAAAGCCAGGGAUCGAACCUGCAACCUCGUGGUUCUUAAUCGGUUUCCUUAACCACUGAGCCACGACGGGAACUCCUACAUUUUUUUCCCCAAAAACAUAAAAAUAUAUGCUGAUUAAAAUCGACUUGCUUGUGCGUUGACCCUCUGAUGUCGAGAGAGGUGGGUCCCCACCUCGCCUCCCAGAGCCCCUGAAGCGUCACCCCACCUGCCUGACCUUCACCCUCAUCUCUGCAUGUGUCCGUGGCUGGGAUCACAAAGGUCUCCUCGGGGUCCUCGCACCUGUCAUGGAAGAGCAUUUGCCCAUUGCCUUGCUCACAUCGUCCUCGGAGCCUGGAAGACCUACCCCUUCCUGCCUGUCUGUCCUUCAAGACGAUUCUCCUCCUCGAUUCCCCUCGCCCCUUGUUAGCUGGCUCUCACUCCCCGCUUCCCUUCCAGUCAGUGUCCCGGCUCCUGCCUCUCUCAUCAUUUCACAUGGACUGAUCUCACCAGCCAGGCUCCCAAGUGCCCCAAGCCUUGCAUGGUCUGCCCCUGCCAAGUCUCUUUCCAUCCACCUGGCAGGGAUUCUUCAUCCUUCCCUUUGCAUGCGAACACAGGUGCUGUUUCCACGGUGUCCCAUCGCGGUGCCUUUGACCAUGUUUCUUCUGUGCCUUUUCUCUUUCUUCCCUGGCUCAGUCCUCCUUCUCUUUCAAGAUGCUCAUCAAGUUCCGCCUCCCCCAUGAGGCCAUGAGACUCCUCCCACAGCGUGUUUUGUGUCCCUCUCGCGGCACACAGCUAUGUGCCUGUGGCCACCAACGUGCUUAUCUCCCUUCGCCCCUGGACUGACUGUGAGCGCCUGAGGGGAUCUUGCUGGAUUUUCAUGUCCCAGCCCAUGACCUCGCAUAGGCGCCUGGUCGCAUCAUUUCUCAAACGAUUUAUGAGUUGACAUGAACUUUGCUGUUUCAACGGGACUCUGUGUUUUUUGAGGGAAGAAAUUGUGCCUUCUCUCUUUUUCCUUCCCAGUGUUGCUUGCCCUAAGGAGGUCAACAGUAGGAGCUUAUUAAAUGUGCCAUGAGAUGAGUUUUGUGGGAGAUGUAGGAGGUGUCUGUGGUUGACAAUGAAAAUCGGCUGAUUAAGGUAGCUUAGCAGUUCUGCACUUUGUUAGGCCUAAGAUGAUCUUGAACCCCAAAUGCAUCAUAACUUUGAUUACCCAAAGCAAAUGGGCUGUGUUAUCUUCGUCCGUGAUUGAAAAGCAAGAUGCAAUUCCUGUUAGGUGCCUAGUCUGGUCCAUUCCAUAUCAGCUCUACAUCUGGUGGUGAUGUUGAAUUCUUUCCAGGAUGGAACCAGUAUCGAUCGUGUGUGUGUGUGUGUGUGUGUGUGUGUGUGUGUGUGUGUAACACAGAGAUAACACUCCAGAUGCCAACACACCUGGAACCGAUUUGUGAGGAUCACCGAUUCAGUCCACAGCUUGGACCAUUCAUUUAUUUCUCCCUAAGUGAACAACAUCUGGGAUUCAGUUUGAGACGCCAAGUUUGGAUGGGAUCUCAAAGCCGUGGUUGAGAUGGGGGACUGCUCGCCCGAGGUGGGAGUGAGAGAGGUGAGCAGGGGCUCUUAAGCUAUUCUGCAGACUUCAGUUCAAAUGCAAUAGCCAGAGGGUUAAGAAGCCCUUCCCGUGCUGGAAAAGCAUUCAGAAAAGGCGGGGGUGGUGCGGGGAUAACCAAGGGAGAGUCAAUCAGAUCAAAGCAAUGAUGCAAAACCUGAAAAUUGCCCCCUUUCCCCGUCCCCCUCUUCCAUUUCCACCCCCUAGUUCUCAAAAUGUUCAGGUAUCUUCCUUUUCUAGG